UACAGAGACUGCAAGCGUUAUUCGGAUUCACUGGGCGUAAAGGGUGCGCAGGCGGCCGAGUGUGUGAGGCGUGAAAGCCCGGGGCUUAACCCCGGAAUUGCACCUCAAACUACACGGCUAGAGCAUUGGAGAGGGUAGCAGAAUUCAUGGUGUAGCAGUGAAAUGCGUAGAUAUCAUGAGGAAUACCAGAGGCGAAGGCGGCUGCCUGGACAAGUGCUGACGCUCAGGCACGAAAGCGUGGGGAGCAAAAGGG
rnacentral:rRNA from 1 species